rnacentral:rRNA from 1 species
UACAGAGGUCCCAAGCGUUGUUCGGAUUCAUUGGGCGUAAAGGGUGCGUAGGCGGCGCGGUAAGUCGGGUGUGAAAUCUCGGAGCUUAACUCCGAAACUGCAUUCGAUACUGCCGUGCUUGAGGACUGGAGAGGAGACUGGAAUUUACGGUGUAGCGGUGAAAUGCGUAGAUAUCGUAAGGAAGACCAGUGGCGAAGGCGGGUCGCCGGACAGUUCCUGACGCUGAGGCACGAAGGUCAGGGGAGCAAACGGG